GUGCCAGACUCCUACGGGAGGCAGCAGUGGGGGAUAUUGCACAAUGGGGGGAACCCUGAUGCAGCGACGCCGCGUGGGUGAAGGAGUGCUUCGGCAUGUAAAGCCCUAUCGGCAGGGAAGAAGCAAGACGGUACCUGACUAAGAAGCCCCGGCUAACUACGUGCCAGCAGCCGCGGUAAUACGUAGGGGGCAAGCGUUAUCCGGAUUCACUGGGCGUAAAGGGAGCGCAGGCGGCACGGCAAGUCUGGUGUGAAAGCCCGGGGCCCAACCCCGGGACUGCAUUGGAAACUGCCGGGCUGGAGUGCCGGAGGGGCAGGCGGAAUUCCUGGUGUAGCGGUGAAAUGCGCAGAUAUCAGGAAGAACACCGGUGGCGCAGGCGGCUUGCUGGACGGCAACUGACGCUGAGGCUCGAAAGCGUGGGGAGCAAACAGGAUUAGAUACCCUAGUA
rnacentral:rRNA from 1 species